AUGCCGGCCGGGGUGGAGGCGACUCGGCGGCUGGUGUCCGCCAAUCCCCAGGCGAACGUGAUCGUCUUCGGCGCGCC
rnacentral:tRNA from 1 species